CCUCCCUCCCCUCUAUCUCCCAUCAUCUCCUUUCUCUCCUCCUCCCCUCCCUCCACCCUCCCCUCUCUCCUGCACAUCUCUUCCCUACCUUUUCACCCCCUCCGCCUGUCUCUCUUUCGUUCGCCGGGCCCAGCGCUCUGCCCCAAGCGGGAGCCCGGGGAUUCGCUUCCUCCGCUGCCACGGAGAGUUGCGAAGACGCGGACGGUCCCCGACGAGCAAUCCCGGACGUUUCCCAAUCGGGCGGCGGGUAUUCCGGGAAUCCCGGUCUCCACGCGAAUCUUCCCGUUCUUCCCUGCGAAUGUCGGUGCCACUGGAGGCCGUUCUUACAUUCGGUUAUCUAGCUUUAUGACAGUACAACAAUCUCAUACAGCUAGAUAACCAAAGACAAGAUCCACCCUCGUCAAGCUCGCUGCACGCCCGCCACCAGCGCCCGCUCCAUCCAACUCUUACCAGAACUUCCUGCAAUAAUUCCUGUCAGCGAUUCACCAGCCACCGACAACCAUCAUACAAGUUGUUUUCCUGCAUACUCUGCGCCAAAAGAUCUUUCAGUAACAACUGCAUUUCGCUCGGGAUAUCCUCAAAAUGCAAACACACUGGAUUGGAAAUUGUUUAAAACUGCGCAUCCCGCAAACUUGCGAUCAAAACCACCGUAAUCUAUAGAGUCAGGGACGCGUUCCACGCAAAAUCAGGGAGGCCAGGACACUCUCUCCAAAUCGUGGCCGCAGAGCACACAGCACAGAAACCGGCCCUUCCGCCCAUCUAGUCUGUGCCGAACUAUUUAUCUACUGAGUCCAAUUGACCUACACUCGGACAUUACCCUCUCUAUGCCUCCCAUCCAUGAACCGAUCCAAAUUUCUCUUAAACAUUGAAAUCGAGCCUGCAUCCGCCACUUGCCCUGGCUGCGCGUUCCACACCCUCAGGGUGAAGACGUUCCCCCUCGUGUGGAUGUGGAUAGGACGUUUUCAAUAGUGGAAAUCACAAUGACAAUCGCUCAUCAGAUGUCUUUACUGUAACACACACCAAAUUCUGGAGGAAUUCAGCAAGUCAGGGCAAUGGAAGUCCCUCCCUGAAGGAAAGAGUCUGGAGUAAUCUCACUACCUACUGGCUUCCAGUCAACGCAUCUCCCCUCACUGUGUGCUGUCUACUACUAGUAGUGGCUCUCAGCUGUGUCUAUGUUGAAUAUUAAACAAUAAUAAAAAGAGAUAAAUAACUAUUAUUGAUAGUAAAGUGAAGAAGGAAGCUGAGAAGUUUUAUUUACUCCGUGGCUCCCAGGGGUUUCCUCAUGUCCACUGAAGAAUUAUUGCACUCUGACAUCAACUUAGAGAAACAUUACCACAAACACAAAAAAAGAAGUUUCAAUUUUGGGUAACUUUAAAAAGUCAGAAUAGUUGGUCUGUCCUGUUUGGUGUUGUCUUUCAUUGAUUCUAUUGUAUUACUUUGUAUUUACUGUAUAAACCCACAAGAAAAUGAACCUCAGGGUUGUAUAUGUGACAUAUAUGUACUUCAAUAA